GCCGGGCUCUGCGCGGUGACGGGACGAGGAACAACCGCCGCUUCGGGCGGACGCGUCGCGGUGCCGCCGGCGCCGGGAGGGCAGCGAGAAGCGCGACGCGUGCCAACAUGAGCGGGCGGAGCAGAUCGGAGCCGCGAUUGAGGAGCGGCACUCCCCGUAUGGGGCUCCGGCUGAUGACACCGCAGCCCGGCUUUGCCGCAUGUCGCUGCCCCGGUCCGGUUCUCACUGAAGUAACCGCGCUCGGGGUUUGCAUCAUUCCCGGCACGGCGUCGGGCGCGGAUGGCUCCGGUCCAGCGGUGCCGACGCGGAGCUGCGCGGCAGCGGUAAGAGAUCGUGGAGGAGAACCGACGGAGGGCCCCACGGUUGGGCUCCAUGGAGCUUUUCCCAGCAGUAGGACGGACCAAACCCGGAGGGGUCAACGGAGGGCAGAGCCCACAGUCACCCCCAGCGCGGAGGUGGAGGUGGGCUCCAGGCUUUGGGGCCGGUGGGACAGUCCCCCCCACUGCCCCACAGUAUGGGUGGGAGGGAUGUGAGCCCCACGUGGGGAUGGCGUGCGGUGACCUCCGGUUGGGGCACACGAGGUGACACAGCUGCGUUCCCUGCAGCCGAGCUCACAGUCCUCAGCUGCUCCGUGGCAUUACCUCCAGCCCGUGAUUUAUGCUUAUCUCGGCAGCGGAGCGCGAGCGUUAUUUCUGCCUUUUUCACCCAGAUUCUUGACGUUUGCCCGAGGCAAAGAAAGGAGAACAAGGAUUUCACCCAUGGCCAAGAGAAAGCAUCGGCUCAUCAGCACGAGCGGCGUCAUGUGGGGGCUUCUGCCUGCCACAGUUUUGGUUCCUCUGGGCGGGUUCCUGAGGCAGCACUGCUGCCAGAGCCAACUUUCCUCGAGCGCUGCUUCCCACGCACAGCUCAGCAUCCCCAUGUGCCACCACUGGGCUCUGCAUGAUCACAUCCCCAUCCCCAUCCCUGCAGCGGGGACGGGCAUGGAGCAGCUUUGUGGGGUGAGCAGCAGCUGCAUGGAGAAGCUGAAGGCACGGGGCUGCCACGCUGUCCCUGAGCAGCCCAGCUCCCAGCAGGAUGGCAAUCCCCACCGCAGGAUCUGAGUUGUGCAGGUGCUCAGGUAGGGUCCCAUCCCAUCGGCCAUCCCACCGCCCAUCCAUCACAGCGCAGUGAGUUCUGUCCCCCACAGUUCUGCUUUAGCAAUGCGUUUUUGGAGCUGCGGGCGCUCCGUGUGCUGCAAUCCCCUCCGCAUGUGAUGCACGGAGGGUCGCGUGGAGCAUCAGAGCUUUUGCAAAGCUGGAUGUUUUCCUCCCAAAGGCGCCAGCGGCGAAGCCGGAAAUUUUACUGCCCGGCAACAGCAAUAAAAUUUGUGCUUUCGG
rnacentral:lncRNA from 1 species